CACACACAAUUUUUGUUAAGGUGGAGGUAAACCCUUUCUGGCAACAGAAGAAACUCAGAGAUUUCUGCAAGGCAAAUAAUGUCACUGUAAUGGCAUACUCACCUUUGGGAGCAAAAGGAACUCGUUGGGGCACCAAUCAAGUUAUGGACAAUGAGACAUUAAAGGAGAUUGCUAAAGCUCAUGGCAAGACUGUUGCCCAGGUUCCAAUACCUAAUUAUCUUUAAUGACUUGAAAUUCUGAUAUUUUCUAUCUCACCUUAGUGAUGGAUUGAUUACUAGCUACAAGAUUUUUUGGCAGGUUUGUCUGAGAUGGGCCUUUGAGCAAGGGGUGGCUUUUGUUGUUAAGAGCUUCAACAAAGAGAGGAUGAAGCAGAAUCUGCAGGUUUUGGAUUGGGAAUUAACACCGGAUGAUUACAUUAAGAUCAACAAAAUUCCUCAGCGAAGAUUACUACCUAAAUUGAAACUGAUAUCGCCUAAUGGACCCUUCAAGUCCUUGGAUGAUUUAUGGGAUGGGGAGAUUUAAUCAUGUAUAAAUUUGUUUAUCAGGCAUCAAGUAGAAGAGCAAGAGUAUGAAUUGCGUUGUUCAUGCCUGAAAUGAAUCUAAAUUAUUAUGCCAAUUUGCAUAUUCAUUUGGGUACUAUUCUCUCCCUACAAAAAGAUUCAAACAAAUCUUGUGAAUGAACUCAUUUUUUGAGUACAAGCAAUUUCUAACUCCUCUUAAUCUUCGUAAUUGGCUAAGCAUGAGGCACUAAUUAUCAGAAUUUUGAAUCGCAGAACAAACACCAUACGCAAUUAAAUUAAAUGCAGUUGAGUGAAGUCUCAAAAUACUUGCACCUUUGAACUUAUAGGAGAAAUAGAACAUAAAUGCAAAUCAUACCCAAGCCCCAACUUAACCUUCUUCCUCACACGAACCACAGUCGAACGUGGCAAAAGAGCAGAGAAGCAAAACCAUAUGGCUCCGGUGAGAAUAGUGUGUACAUGUGCAAUUCGAGCUUUCUGAGAAGAAAAAGCGGAAGCAGAGAAGCAGAAAACCCAGAGAAGAUGAGCAGAGCAAUUGUUGCUGCACAAAGCGGUAGUGUCAAAAUGCCCGACCGAGUUUG
rnacentral:lncRNA from 1 species